CUAAAAUCUAACGGUAAGAUGUCAGUGCGCAUGUCAUCAGUCUACAGUUGAAAAUUGUGGUGACAGGUUGUUUCGUCGGUAGAAAUUAUCGUUUGGAUUGGAGCUUCGAAGGCUUCGAUAUUUUGUAAGUGUGGUAGAUUUUGCACGCAUCACGAUAAUGAAGAGAUAAUUCGACGAUUUUCGUGCAAAUACGGUCAUCAAUUUUCAAUAUGGAUGCAGG